UCUCCGUAGGUGAACCUGCGGAGGGAUCAUUACAGAGUUCAUGCCCUACCGGGUAGAUCUCCCACCCUAUGUUAUUAUUACUUUGUUGCUUUGGCGGGCCGUUAGGCUCCGGCCCGAUUACCGGCCCCGGCUGGUAAGCGCCCGCCAGAGGACCCAAAACCCUGAAUAUUAGUGUCGUCUGAGUACUAUAUAAUAGUUAAAACUUUCAACAACGGAUCCCUUGGUUCUG
rnacentral:misc_RNA from 1 species